rnacentral:misc_RNA from 1 species
UACAUAGUUUAAAUAGCAAAAAUUGGGAGCUUAAUGUGGGAAUAAGGAAAGUUAUGAAUAAACAAUCAUUAAAUAUCACUUAGUGCUCCACUCACACCUAAAGUGGACCACUUAAUCUGAAUUUGGACAACAGAUUCAUAUUCUUCUUCAACCUCAAAAAUUCAGCCGUGAGCCUCCAUUGAAGAAAACCUCCAUGGCCAUUUGUUUCAAGCUCCAUGCAUGCUUAAUUUAAGCUUCAUUCUUGGCACAUUUCUUCACUAAAAGUUGUCUAUAUACCUUGGGCAGUAGAUUGGCAGCAAAAAGACUAAGUUUUGGAGAGAUUUUGAAGAAUUUCCAAAGUGGUAGAUAGAUUGACAGGGUAGCAGACUAGGCUGCUAGUACAUUCAGCGAGAGAUCAUCGAGUAUAUUGAGUAUACCACAUUUUGUAUUUUGUACUGUAAUGUAUGUUCACUGUAUGUAUAUAUUGUUCUUGGUUUUGAGCAGUUGUAAAUUAAAAUUGUACAUUGAAGUUGUAAAAUAAAUUAUGAGUUAUUUUGACUUGUA